GGGGAGUCCGGGAGCCGCAAUCCAGAAGCGUCGUGGGCCAUGUAUAUUUCAUCAAACGGACUUUGGGUGCGUCGCGUCUCACUGCCAUCAGUGCUAUGUGCAGUGACAUUUCUGACUUGAGUGGAGGAAUGCGCGAAGGAAACCCGGGCGAAAUUGGUAUUAGAGGAUCUUCUUGGCGCCAAUGCUAAUUGUCCUGAUUUAUGCCCCUUCUGACUAAGCUCAACGUCUUCAUCUGAAAUAAAAUGAAAGCGGUGCCAAGCGGCAUAGAACCGCCUGGCCGCUGGUUCUGAU
rnacentral:lncRNA from 10 species